rnacentral:rRNA from 1 species
AUACGAAGGGGGCUAGCGUUGUUCGGAUUUACUGGGCGUAAAGCGCACGUAGGCGGCCUUUUAAGUCAGGGGUGAAAUCCCAGAGCUCAACUCUGGAACUGCCUUUGAUACUGGAAGUCUUGAGUAUGGUAGAGGUGAGUGGAAUUCCGAGUGUAGAGGUGAAAUUCGUAGAUAUUCGGAGGAACACCAGUGGCGAAGGCGUCUCACUGUCCCAUUACUAACGCAGAGGUGCGAAAGCGGGGGGAGCAAACAGGAUUAGAUACCCUGGUAGUCCACGCCGUAAACGAUGAAUGUUAGGCGUCGGGGUGUUUACACUUCGGUGGCGCAGCUAACGCAUUAAACAUUCCGCCUGGGGAGUACGGUCGCAAGAUUAAAACUCAAAGGAAUUGACGGGG